CUCCUAAUCUUUCUUCAAGCUUUAUCCCCCCUCCUUUCUGCUCUCUUUCUUUCUGCCCCUCUCUCUUUCUCUAUCUGUCGUACAAUAGCACACAUGUGAGUAUGCUGUACCGCCGUGCGGAUUUACGGCGAUUUUUUUUUUUUUUUUUAAGGAUUCACUCUUGGAAGUGAGAUAGCUACGGUUUCUUACUUUCCACUAUAGAUGUAGGCCUAGUUUGUCUGUAUAAAUGUGAACACGCUUAAUAUAUUAUGUGACAUAUUCAUUUCCAGGCGUGGCUAGGAAAUAAGUUCUUAAGGACGUUCUUCGCUUUCUCCGUUGCAGAGAAUUGUUCAGAUAUUUGACUGAAUUUAUCUACUGCACUGCAACUCUAGCCAAAGGGCAAAUGAGGGCAAGAGACGUUUUUAACUCAAGAGGGCAUAGUACGUUAUUUUACAUUGGACUACUGAAAAUUGAAAGGACUUAAAGGCCUAUAAUUGCAUUGACCAGAGCUAUAUUUCGACCUAUUAUUUGAGGUAUAGUCAAAUAAUGUUUCGUCAGAAUAAUGCGAUGAGCUCCAGCUCCCGCCCCCUUUACUAAAGUAUGUCUUCAUUUUUUUAGUCAGAGCAGAAUUACCUGGAAACUGCUGAAAGUUAAACUCUUGAAAAUGAUGAAUCGGGUUAAUACACAAUUAUCAAACUCAAUAGUGUAUAGCAUCGUUUACAGAUAAAAUCUUGAUAUGAAGGCUAUAGCCUAUGUAUAGUGUUAUUCUGUUUACUCAUUCAUUCCAGGUGUCAAUGUCACAUUAAAUUAAAUUAUUACAUACAUAUAAUAAUAAAUAAAAUAUUUCACUGCUUAGCAACAACAGAUUGAAAUAACUCGGAUUACCUACCACUUCGUCAUCCUUUCACAUAGGGAGAUUAUAUUAGGGGUAGUAUUUAAAUCUUUAAUUUUAUUUUGAGAUUGGCCUAUUACUUUUAUCUUCUCUUUCUGUAUAUGUAUAAACAGACAUAUGGCUUUAUAUCGGUGUAAGUAUACCUUGAAUAUUCAAAAGUAUUUAGCUUGUUUUCUAUUAGCUUUGUUGAGGAGUGGGGUCUAUUUAGGCUAUCUCAAACAUUUAAUCAGUAUUGAGUAAUGAGAUAACUGUGGUACCUUCAAUUAACAUGUGUCUGUAUAAAAUUUAACUAUGUUUAGCACAAAUGACUGGAAAUUAAAUUUGUCGAGGCGUUACGCAUCUGCUUAUUAGUCAAUGCAAACUGCUGUUGCCAGGGUAGACUAUUGUGCUCUGCUGAGUCCUAAAAAUCAGAGAAAAAAAAUGGCGUUAAAAGUGUAGAGUCCGUGUGCUCGGUGCUUUUUUCCUACUUAAAUUUCACUCAGUUUGCCUCUGUUCUCCACUUAGUUUGCCCAUCUAAAUUUACCUACAUUCAACCCCUAACUUGUAAAGCUGAACACCCGCUAUGUUUAUUGCAACUUUUUUUGUAGUUUUAAUACUAAUAUAUUAGACCGAAUUUAUUCAGCCAGCAUUGGUUACCAUGUUUUACUAUUACUUUACUUUAUUUCAUUUUAUUUAUUUUUAAAUUCUCAAAAGCAAUGUAUGGCUUUAUUGGUGUCUUGAUAUGAAAUGAAGUUAAAGCUACAUUUGUAAUUGUACAAAAAUAUUAUGCAAGGAAGAGAGGCACUUUACAUUUUGGCAAAAUAUUUAAAGUACUAGUAUAUUUAGAUUUGUAGAGCAUACAUAAUUUAGUGUUUCAUAAUACUCACUUUCAGUUAAGUUAUCUUCUUUAAACCACUGUGAUGAGACUUUGACUAUGGAUACAUUGAAUUGAUAUUAGUAUUUGUUGACUAUAUUUAGUUUGUGCACUGUAGAUCCCAAAGACAAAUCUGUGACCUUCCUGAACUAUAGAUUAAGGAAGACAUAACGAAGAAUGAGAUUAACCAGGAAGAGUUGCUGUGUGGUGUGGGAGAAGAGACUCAGUUUUGUUAUACAAAUUAAUGUCUGCCAUUGAUUGUUCUCUAUGCUCUGUUAUGGUGUAUGAUAUCAUAGUUAGGGAGAUUUAUCUAAAAACUGCAUUGCAACUCAUUACAUAUAAAAGUAUAUAUUCUUGGCCUUUUCUGGUCUUUCUUGUUUUAUAUUAUGUUUGAUAUGACCCUGUUCAAGUAAAAAGAAUUGUGUUAUUUACUCUUAAUUAUGACUUGAUUGUGAAUACAGUUCCUGUAACCUCAGUAAAUAUUGUCUUGUAAUAUUUACUCUAUCCAAGAACUUCACAUGUGGGAAGAAUUAUAUUAUUAAAUAAGUCAAGUUUAUGCCCACUCAUUAAUAGGGUGGUGGGGGUUUGGAGACAGUCUUCAGAAUAAAUAUAUUAAUUACUUUCUUAAAUUCAAAAUGUUGUAAGGUAAGUGAUCAGUAUCCCUGGUAUAAAAGUUGUUCUUUAGAUUCCAAUUCACAUAAUUAAAUUCUGUUCUUAAUACGUCAA